rnacentral:rRNA from 1 species
AACGAACGCUGGCGGCAGGCCUAACACAUGCAAGUCGAACGCCCUAGCAAUAGGGAGUGGCAGACGGGUGAGUAACACGUGGGAACCUUCCCUAUAGUACGGAAUAGCCCAGGGAAACUUGGAGUAAUACUGUAUACGCCCGGGAGGGGAAAGAUUUAUCGCUAUAGGAUGGGCCCGCGUAGGAUUAGCUAGUUGGUGAGGUAAUGGCUCACCAAGGCGACGAUCCUUAGCUGGUUUGAGAGAACGACCAGCGACACGGGGACUGAGACACGGCCCAGACUCCUACGGGAGGCAGCAGUGGGGAAUAUUUGACCAUGGGCGCAAGCCUGAUCCAGCCAUGCCGCGUGAGUGAUGAAGGCCUUAGGGUUGUAAAGCUCUUUUAGCAGGGAAGAUAAUGACUGUACCUGCAGAAUAAGCUCCGGCUAACUUCGUGCCAGCCGCCGCAGUAACAC